rnacentral:rRNA from 1 species
GAUGGACGCUGGCGGCGUGCCUAAUACAUGCAAGUCGAGCGAACGGACGAGAAGCUUGCUUCUCUGAUGUUAGCGGCGGACGGGUGAGUAACACGUGGAUAACCUACCUAUAAGACUGGGAUAACUUCGGGAAACCGGAGCUAAUACCGGAUAAUAUUUUGAACCGCAUGGUUCAAAAGUGAAAGACGGUCUUGCUGUCACUUAUAGAUGGAUCCGCGCUGCAUUAGCUAGUUGGUAAGGUAACGGCUUACCAAGGCAACGAUGCAUAGCCGACCUGAGAGGGUGAUCGGCCACACUGGAACUGAGACACGGUCCAGACUCCUACGGGAGGCAGCAGUAGGGAAUCUUCCGCAAUGGGCGAAAGCCUGACGGAGCAACGCCGCGUGAGUGAUGAAGGUCUUCGGAUCGUAAAACUCUGUUAUUAGGGAAGAACAUAUGUGUAAGUAACUGUGCACAUCUUGACGGUACCUAAUCAGAAAGCCACGGCUAACUACGUGCCAGCAGCCGCGGUAAUACGUAGGUGGCAAGCGUUAUCCGGAAUUAUUGGGCGUAAAGCGCGCGUAGGCGGUUUUUUAAGUCUGAUGUGAAAGCCCACGGCUCAACCGUGGAGGGUCAUUGGAAACUGGAAAACUUGAGUGCAGAAGAGGAAAGUGGAAUUCCAUGUGUAGCGGUGAAAUGCGCAGAGAUAUGGAGGAACACCAGUGGCGAAGGCGACUUUCUGGUCUGUAACUGACGCUGAUGUGCGAAAGCGUGGGGAUCAAACAGGAUUAGAUACCCUGGUAGUCCACGCCGUAAACGAUGAGUGCUAAGUGUUAGGGGGUUUCCGCCCCUUAGUGCUGCAGCUAACGCAUUAAGCACUCCGCCUGGGGAGUACGACCGCAAGGUUGAAACUCAAAGGAAUUGACGGGGACCCGCACAAGCGGUGGAGCAUGUGGUUUAAUUCGAAGCAACGCGAAGAACCUUACCAAAUCUUGACAUCCUUUGACAACUCUAGAGAUAGAGCUUUCCCCUUCGGGGGACAAAGUGACAGGUGGUGCAUGGUUGUCGUCAGCUCGUGUCGUGAGAUGUUGGGUUAAGUCCCGCAACGAGCGCAACCCUUAAGCUUAGUUGCCAUCAUUAAGUUGGGCACUCUAAGUUGACUGCCGGUGACAAACCGGAGGAAGGUGGGGAUGACGUCAAAUCAUCAUGCCCCUUAUGAUUUGGGCUACACACGUGCUACAAUGGACAAUACAAAGGGCAGCGAAACCGCGAGGUCAAGCAAAUCCCAUAAAGUUGUUCUCAGUUCGGAUUGUAGUCUGCAACUCGACUACAUGAAGCUGGAAUCGCUAGUAAUCGUAGAUCAGCAUGCUACGGUGAAUACGUUCCCGGGUCU